CAGCAGCCCGAGUGGUGGUCGUUUUUAUUGGGCCUAAAGCGUCCGUAGCCGGUCUAGUAAAUCCUUGGAUAAAUCGUACAGCUUAACUGUACGGCUCCCGGGGAGACUGCUAGACUUGGGACUGGGAGAGGUCGGAGGUACUCCAGGGGUAGGGGUGAAAUCUUGUAAUCCUUGGGGGACCACCAGUGGCGAAGGCGUCCGACCAGAACGGGUCCGACGGUAAGGGACGAAACCCUGGGGCGCGAACCGGAUUAGAUACCCGAGUAGUCC
rnacentral:rRNA from 1 species